rnacentral:rRNA from 1 species
AGGCGGGUAGCAAUACCCAGUCGAGCGGCGAACGGGUGAGUAACGCGUGGAUUAUCUGCCCUGAGGUGGGGGAUAACCCGGGGAAACUCGGGCUAAUACCGCAUAUGACCGUGAGGUCAAAGGGGGGUCGCAGGAUCUCUCGCCAUAGGAGGAGUCCGCGUCCGAUUAGCUAGUUGGUAGGGUAAUGGCCUACCAAGGCGACGAUCGGUAGCCGGCCUGAGAGGGUGAUCGGCCACACUGGAACUGAGACACGGUCCAGACUCCUACGGGAGGCAGCAGUGGGGAAUUUUGCGCAAUGGGCGAAAGCCUGACGCAGCAGCGCCGCGUGGAAGAUGAAGGUCCUUGGAUUGUAAACUCCUGUCAGCAGGGAAAAAGCGACUUAGCCUAAUACGCUAGGGAGUUGAUUGUACCUGCAGAGGAAGCCCCGGCUAACUCUGUGCCAGCAGCCGCGGUAAUACAGAGGGGGCAAGCGUUAUUCGGAAUUAUUGGGCGUAAAGGGCGCGUAGGCGGCUUGGCAAGUGGAUGGUGAAAUCCCUCGGCUUAACCGAGGAACGGCCGUCCAAACUGCUUCGCUUGAGACCGGGAGAGGUGAGUGGAAUUCCCAGUGUAGCGGUGAAAUGCGUAGAUAUUGGGAGGAACACCAGUGGCGAAGGCGGCUCACUGGACCGGUACUGACGCUGAAGCGCGAAAGCGUGGGGAGCAAACGGGAUUAGAUACCCCGGUAGUCCACGCCGUAAACGAUGAGUGCUUGGUGUAGCGGGUAUCGACCCCUGCUGUGCCGAAGUCAACACAUUAAGCACUCCGCCUGGGGAGUACGGUCGCAAGGCUGAAACUC